rnacentral:rRNA from 1 species
UAGGUAGGUGGUCUCAUUUGUCUGGGGUGAAAGCCUUGAGCUUAACUCAAGAAGUGCCCCAGAAACGGUGAGACUGGAGUCCUGGAGAGGGUCGUGGAAUUCCCGGUGUAGCGGUGAAAUGCGUAGAGAUCGGGAGGAACACCAGAGGCGAAAGCGGCGACCUGGACAGGUACUGACACUCAACUACGAAAGCGUGGGGAGCAAACA